CUGUAAUGGUGUCCUUGGCUCUCAGGCUGUAAAAGAAUUGUUUUGUCUAACUAAACUAUGAAGAUAACUUGAUAACACUUCAUAUGAGGUUCUGAAUCACACAUUAAAGUGGUACAGAAUCUGAAAAAUAUGAAAGCUAAAACUUAAGACAUCAUAAGGAUGAUUUCCCAGACUGUAGGACUGAAAUUAGGUGUUCUCAAUUUCCAGGGAGGAGAUGGGUGUGAUCAAAAGGAGAAGACAGCUGAGCCAUGGAGGACCAGAAGGUCACCAAAGAGAGUGGCUGACCCUCAAAUGGUGGUGAUGCCUGCUUGUUUCCUGGCCCUAUGUGUUACCUGACUGCUGCAGACAGGCAGCUCAGCAUGAAAACCCUCACCAAGGCUGGACACAGGGACUGAGCCUCCCCUGGACUUGGAACCCUCCUGUGUUUUCCAUUUUCACCUGCCACUGCUCACCCUACCAAGCUCUGAAUUUCUGUGACCUUGCUUGGCAGGAAAAUCAGAGUCUCUGCAGGUGGCCAGCUGCCAGGGACAUUCAUUUUUUCCAAUUAGUGGAAAACAGAGGGUGUUACCUCUACCCAUGAUUUAAAAACAGCACCAGAGCAGAAACCCAUGGAGGACAUCCAAUAUCCUGGUCAACAUGCCACUUUUGGAAGCCAGGAGUGCUCUCCUCUGUGCAAUAGAAGACACACCUUUCCCCAGACCUUUUGGAAGAGCUCUAGCAAUGAUGGUUUGAAAAAGGUGGGUGGGGGAGCAUGGAGCCCCUGAACCAGGGCUGCCUUUGGCCCUCUUCAAACAGAAGUAGGGGGGCACUGAGAACCUUGUGCGGCUGAAAUGUUCAACCUGGUGCACCCACUGCCCCAAGGAUCCACCCUGGGUGCUCCAAGAGCCUAAAGAUCUCUGUUCCUGUGCUCACAGAUUACGGUAAAAGAUGAUCUGGGAAAGCACAUAAAAUCAUGAUAGACUUCAGGGCACUAAAGAG
ensembl:lncRNA